rnacentral:lncRNA from 1 species
CAUGUGUUUGGGAAUCGUCCAUGGACCUUUUCUCCUUUACCUACUGAAGCUCUAUCCACUUCAUCUCCUUAGUAGCCUUAGGGUGGAAGUGAGCUGUGACCCACAUUUUAUAACAAUUGGGCUUUAAUCAGGCAGUAACUAAAUCAGUCCUUCAGGACAUCAAUUCUCUGGUCCCUUUAGUGGUAGUAAUCACUUUUGGUUAACUAGAACUGUAAAAGGACUGUACUAAUUCUCACUUUUAUUGGCAGAAUUGGUACUCUUGUCCCAAUUUCAUAAUAAAUGUACCAGCAUUGGCAGAAUUAGUUAUCUUAACAUUGCUUUAAUAAGAUAGAUAAGUAUUUUUUCUCAUUUAUUUUUAUUUUUUAUUUUAUUUUAUUUUCUGUCUUUUUAGGUCCACACCUGCGGUAUAUGGAGGCUAGGGGUUGAAUUGGAGCUUCAGCUGUUGGCCUACUCCACCGUCAUAGCAAUGCAGGAUCCAAGCCAUGUCUGCAACCUACACCACAGCUCACGGCAGUGCCUGAUCCUUAACCUACUGAACAAGGCCAGGGAUUGAACCUGCAUCCUUGUGGAUACUAGUUGGGAUUGUUUCUGCUGAGCUACAAUGGGAACUCCCUAAAAAUAGGUAUUAAGACAGUAUAACUUUAUUGUUAUUUUUAUGCUUAGCAUUUUCACAUAUGUAAAUUUAUAGACAUGCAGGAUAGUGUAAAGAGUACACUUUGCCCAAACAUACUCCUGGGUUCACAUCUAGGCUCUGCAGUUUUAUUUUAUUUUAUUUUGUCUUUUUGUCAUUUUAGGGCCGCACCCAUGGCAUAUGGAGGUUCCCAGGCUAGGGGUCUAAUCGGAGCUGUAGCUGCUGGCCUAUACCACAGUCACAGCAACACCAGAUCGGAGCCGCAUCUGCGACCUACACCACAGCUCAUGGCAAUGCCAGAUCCUUAAUCCAGUGACUGAGGCCAGGGAUCAAACCCGCAACCUCAUGGUUCCUAGUCUGAUUUGUUUCCGCUGUGCCACGACAGGAACCCCGGCUCUGCAGUGUUAUGACCUCAGUCAAGUUAUAUAUGUUUUCUAGAGUUGCUUUGCCAUGUUUUUAAAGUGGGUUGUUACAAUUUAAUUACGUACAGAGUUGUGAUAAUCAUUAAAAGAUAAAUUUAAAUGAAAACGCAAAAGGCUGAGAAAAUCCAGGAUCCUCUUCAAGAACAGAGUGGAAUAACUUGUUUUCUUAGCUCUCCAUAUUUUUUAAUGAAAAUUAAGCUGCAUUAAUAAAGACAGUGUUCUGUUGAUGCAGGAAUAUAUUAUACUUUUGGCUCAGCAGAUCAGUGGAACAGAAUAAGGAAUACAGAAAUAGGCGUAUUGUAUUUAGAUACUUGGCUUAUGGGAAAAGCGGCACGUGGAGCAGUGGAGAUGCGGUAUUUCCGUAAGUGGUGCUAGAGCAGCCUGUAUAUUCACAUGGAACAAAGUGAACCAAGACCGCUGUCUCACACCACACUCCGUUUCUCAGUGGUUGUAGAUCUGCUUGUAAAGGCAAAAGAAUAGAUACUUUGGGAGAAAACAUAGGAAAAUAUGCAUGCGGCUUGGAGUAUGAAAUUUUCUUAAGUAGGACGCAAAAAGUAUUAAUUAUGAAAGACAGAUUAGAAGUUGGAUUUUAUUAAAAUCAGGAACUUCUGUUUAUCGAAAUUCAGCUUUAAGGAGUUCCAUGGUGGGUCAGUGGGUUAGGGAUCUAUCUAUUGUAGCGUGGGUUGCUGCCGUAGCAUGGGUUUGAUCCCUGGUCUGGGAACUUCUGAAUGCCGUGGCACAGAUGGGAAAAAAAAAAUCCAACUUUAAGAGAGUGAGAGGCAAGCCACAGAGGGGGGAAGGUAUUUGCAGCAUUCUGACAGAGGGUUCUUCCAUCUGGACUGAGGCAUGUAAGUCUCACCUCCUUGCUGGCUUCUAAGCUCCCUUUUAGAGAGCUCUGUUAGCGGUACUUCAUUUUGAUUUUCCUUUCUCAAGGUAUGUGGAAUGAAUAAAGGCAUAACAGGAUUCAGAACACUGAGGGAACAGGCCUCGGGGUGUGCUCUGCUCCAGGGGGCUUCCUGGGUGAGCAAUGAGGCCACAUGGGCACAUGGCAGGAGAUCAGUAAGGGGUGCCUGGUUUGGGAUCCCCAGAGCAAACUCGGACUUGAACCUUGGCUCUCUCACCUCUUGGUUUUGUGUUUUUGCCUCAUCUCUAAAAUACGGGUAGUUAACAGAACUCACCAUGCAGGGUUGGGACUAGUGAAAUGAUGUAGACUAGUAUUUGGCUGCAGGAGAUCUUCAGUCUAGUGGGGUCCCUACAGAGCAGUGAGAAAAAACCCAAUAGAAGGUUCCCUGGUGGCUCAGCAGUUAAGGAUCCUGCAUUGUCAGUGUUGUGGCUCUGGUUACUGCUGGGGUAGGCCUGAUCCCUAGCCCAGGAACUUCUGCAUGCCGCAGCUGCAGCCAAAAAAAAGCCCAAUAGAAGAAUGAGUGAGAAACUUGAACAGGCAUUUCGCCAAAAGGAUGUCCAAAUGCCCAGUAAAAAUAAGAAAAGGUGCUCAACACCACACGUCAGUAGAGAAAUGAACUUAAAACCAUAAUGACGCAUAAGCACUGCACACCUACCUGCACGUGACAUUGAAAGGACUAACAGUGGAGAGUUUGCGCUGAUAUCAGCAAGGAAAUUCUCCUUCGCUGUUGGUGAAAUGCAAAUUGGUACUGCCCCUUUGGUAAACCAGUUGGGAGUGUCAAAGCCGAAAGUAUGCCGACUUCACGACCCUGCCGUUCCACUCCUCACCGAAGUGGUUCGUGAUGGGCAGCCAGACGGUAAGUAUGUGCAUGUUUGUAGCACAUUAUUUGGUCCUCAUAUUGGGGAACUAGAGAAAAUAUGCAUCAGCAGUGCGUGCAGUAGGAUAGGAAUUCCUGCUGCGGCUCAGCAAGUUAAGGACCCGACAGUUGUCUCUGAGGAUGUGGGUUCGAUCCCUGGCCUCACUCAGUGGGUUAAGGAUCCGGCGUUGCUGUAAGCUGCGGUGGAAGUUGCAGAUGUGGCUUGGAUCCCGUGUUGCCGUGGCUGUGGUGUAGGCCAGCUGCUGCAGCCUAGACUCCAUCCCUAGCCUGGGAACUUCCAUCUGCUGCGGGUGCGGCUGUGAAAAAGAAAAACCAAAAAACCCCUAAUAUAGUAGGUUAGUGAAUUGUUAUAUGUCCCUGGCUGGAAAUACAAUAGUAUAAAUGAAAAUGAACAAACUCAGCUCACACGACAAAGUGGAUGGACCUCAGAAGCAAUGCUGAGCAAAAGAACUCACGUGGUGACGACUGCACACCCUGUGGUUCCAGGGUUUGGAAAUCAGGAUAGUUGCCCUUGAGAGGAGAGGGCUUAAUUGUCAAGAGGGAUCCGGAAGGGACUGUCGGGGUGCUGGCAGCGCCCUCUGUCUAGACCUCCGUGGUGGUCAUAGGGGUGCUUGCUUUGUUCUUAUUUAUUUAUUUAUUUAUAUUUUUGUCUUUUUAGGGCUGCACCACUGG